CACGUAGGGCGCGAGCGUUGUCCGGAUUUAUUGGGCGUAAAGAGCUCGUAGGCGGCUUGUCGCGUCGUUCGUGAAAACCCACAGCUCAACUGUGGGCUUGCGGUCGAUACUGCCAUGGCUUGAGUCCGGUAGGGGACCACGGAAUUCCUGGUGUAGCGGUGAAAUGCGCAGAUAUCAGGAGGAACACCAGUGGCGAAGGCGGUGGUCUGGGCCGGAACUGACGCUGAGGAGCGAAAGCGUGGGUAGCAAACAGG
rnacentral:rRNA from 1 species